rnacentral:rRNA from 1 species
UACGUAGGGGGCGAGCGUUGUCCGGAGUUACUGGGCGUAAAGGGCAUGCAGGCGGUCGGACGCGUUUCGGGUGACAGCGGGUGGCUUAACUACCCGAGUGUCGAAAGACGGUUUGACUUGAGGACGCGAGAGGGACACGGAAUUCCGGGUGGAGUGGGUGAAAUGCGUAGAGAUCCGGAGGAACACCGAAGGCGAAGGCAGUGUCCUGGCGCGUAACUGACGCUGAGGUGCGAAAGCCAGGGGAGCGAACGGG